AUACGGAGGGUGCAAGCGUUAAUCGGAAUUACUGGGCGUAAAGCGUGCGUAGGUGGUUUGUUAAGUCAGAUGUGAAAGCCCCGGGCUCAACCUGGGAACUGCAUUUGAAACUGGCAUACUAAAGUAUAGGAGAGGAAAGUGGAAUUUCAGGUGUAGCGGUGAAAUGCGUAGAUAUCUGAAGGAACAUCAAUGGCGAAGGCAGCUUUCUGGACUAAUACUGACACUGAGGUACGAAAGCGUGGGUAGCAAACAGGAUUAGAAACCCUAGUAGUCC
rnacentral:rRNA from 1 species